CGUGCCAGCAGCCGCGGUAAUACGUAGGGUGCGAGCGUUAAUUGGAAUUACUGGGCGUAAAGCGUGCGCAGGCGGUUCGCCAAGUCAGGUGUGAAAUCCCCGGGGUUAACCUGGGAAUUGCGCUUGAAACUAGCGGGCUUGAGUGUGGCAGAGGGGGGUGGAAUUCCCCGUGUAGCGGUGAAAUGCGUAGAGAUUUGGAGGAACACCGAUGGCGAAGGCGGCCCCCUGGGUCGACACUGACGCUCAGGCACGAAAGCGUGGGGAGCAAACAGGAUUAGAUACCCCGGUAGUCCACGCCCUAAACGAUGUGGACUAGGUGUUGGGGAAGGUGACCUCCUUAGUACCGCAGCUAACGCGUAA
rnacentral:rRNA from 1 species